rnacentral:rRNA from 1 species
UGCGUAGGCGGAUUAAUAAGUCAGUGGUGAAAUCUCUCGGCUCAACAGGGAAACUGCCAUUGAUACUGUUAAUCUUGAGUUCGGUUGAGGUAGGCGGAAUGUGUAAUGUAGCGGUGAAAUGCUUAGAUAUUACACAGAACACCAAUUGCGUAGGCAGCUUACUAGACCGACACUGACGCUGAGGCACGAAAGCGUGGGUAGCGAACAGGAUUAGAUACCCUGGUAGUCC